AUUGAACGCUGGCGGCAGGCCUAACACAUGCAAGUCGAACGAGUGGCGGACGGGUGAGUAAUGUCUGGGAAACUGCCUGAUGGAGGGGGAUAACUACUGGAAACGGUAGCUAAUACCGCAUACCAUCAGAUGUGCCCAGAUUGGAUUAGCUUGUUGGGGGGGUAGCGGCGAACCAAGGCGACGAUCCCUAGCUGGUCUGAGAGGCUGACCAGCCACACUGGAACGUGUACACGGUCCAGACUCCGACGUGAGGCAGCAGUGGGGAAUAUUGCACAAUGGGCGCAAGCCUGAUGCAGCCAUGCCGCGUGUAUGAAGAAGGCCUUCGGGUUGUAAAGUACUUUCAGCGGGGAGGCGUUACCCGCAGAAGAAGCACCGGCUAACUCCGUGCCAGCAGCCGCGGUAAUAC
rnacentral:rRNA from 1 species